rnacentral:siRNA from 1 species
UCGGCGCAGCAAAGUCCA